GAGCAAAUCAGCAUCCGGCUCAGUCUGCCCCCGCCCCGGGUACGAUGAGAAGAUGACAGGGCCCAGAAGGGGUGGGUUUAAAGAGUCUCCCUUCCCCACAGCUUGGCACCCAGCCUAAACCCUCUGCUCGCUGAAAGGGUGCCAAGCUGCCCAGCACGUUUGAAUUUGCAAAUCGUCUCCUGUUUACUAUCAGAGGAUCUGCAAAGCUGAAUCUCCUCGUGGGUUUUCGUGCGGCUGUCAUGAGUCCUGUUGGGAAGCGAGCCUUCACAAACCUCAGUGUGUAAGUAACAGGCUGCUUCGUCUGUAGGUGAACGAGUCAUAAAAGGAUUAUUCAAGGAGUUUUUUCUUUUUUUACCCUGGACUGGAUUUGAGCAUUUGCUCGUUUGGAGGUGGGGACAGGAAACGGCUGAGCCUUUGAGAGUGGGAAGAGAGUCCAGGAUUGGAAACCAUCGCUUGUUAGGGGACUCCGCUGUACCGCUCAGCUGUGAUGACAAUCCACUCGAGAUAUGUUGUAUUAAAAGAAAGUGUGGCGUGAGUCCAGCGGUUGAAAUGCAGACGCCCACAUGUAUUUAUAUUCUCGGGGCCUGGGCCAUGUGUGCGGUGACACAGCGUGCUGGAAAGUCGUGGAACUGAAAAUAACAUAUGUCUGUCUCAAGUGCCAGAGGAAAUUGUAGCGCUAGUGAGAAGGAGCAGGGUGCAGAUUUAGAAAGGGGAGCGAAAUGCCUCCUGUGUCACUGUGGUGUUUAUCCCCAGGCCCUGGCUUCUCCUCACACAUAGCAGGAGCCGCUGCAAAACCGCCAGGAAAACAAAUGCUGAACUGUGCCCCGGCCUCCUUCCAGAGCAGGUUGGCUUUAAGCAGCUCUGCCUUGGAAAUGAGGUUCUGGCAGACUGAAUUUUGACCCUCACUGUGGUUUGCUGAGUACCUGGAAGGCUCGUCCGUGAGUAAGAAGCUGUUGAUGGUGCUGAAACUGGGCAGGGAGGUGCUGGCAAGAAAGGAGGUCUCUUUCACCUCAGAACUGCCUGGACUUAAACAUGACUCAGAGAGAGGACUGAAGAGGUGGCCAAUUCAAGGACAGUCAUCAUGUCAGGAAGCUGAAGCAGGAGCUGCGGCAGCUGGUCAUGUCUGUAGUCAGAAGAGAGAACAAUGAAUGCUUUGCCACAGCUCAGAUUCUCUUUUAUCACGUACACGGUCCAGGACCAACCAGGGAAUGGUGCCGCCAACAGUGGACUGGUCUUCCCACUCAAAGGAAUUAAGGAAGACAGAAGUCAGGGAAGCAAAGCUGAAGAUGCUAAACCGUGGACCACCUACACUACAGGUCUCUUCGGUGCUCUGCCCAGGACCUUCACCUGAAGCUUGGACAGUAGUAACACCCAAGUCCCUGUAAAAGGUUCCUGUGGGGAACGUGCCAUGAGAAUAUGUCUGUCAGUAAUGCCACGGAAGAUGCAGAUGAGGAAAUGGAUUCUGUAGCAAGUUACAUCCUGGCCUGGGGGCCCUUUUUGAUGGGAACAGGAUUCAGUUUGUUUCUUGUUACUGUUGAUAUCUGUUCUUAUUAUAUUUCAACACCUUGUUUCAGAGGAGUUUUGAGUCAAGCAAAAAGUAAACAAAAGCCAUACAAUCCUGUACACUUCAGCUAUUGCUGGUCACUGUGUGCUUCUCUCUCCUGUGGGUAGAUUCCUUGAUUCUCUGAAGAAAAAAAUCUAAGGAAUUAAGACAUGGACCAGUAAAUAUCCCAAGAAUAUGAAUUAAUUAUGACUGUGGUGAUAUUUUAUCUGUGUAACCUAAUAAAGCUUAUCUGAGGAUCAGAGGAAAAAGUCAGCCACUCUAGUAAACAUAGAAGUCAGACAAAGGUAGCACACGCCUUUAAUCCUAGCAUUCAGGAGGCAGAGAUCCAUCUGGAUCUCUGUGAGUUCAAGACCACACUGGGAACAGAGCCAGGCAUGGUGGCACAUGCCUUUAAUUCCAAUGUUAGUUAACCAUAAAGGUCUGUACAGACAGAUAGGAAGAGACAGAGCUGGGCAGAAAGAGGAAGUGAUGUAGCUGGGCGGAGAGAGGAAGUGAGAUUGUGGAACAGAAAGGCAUGUAGGUGUGGGUAUACAGAAAGUAGCUUGCUCUGGAGGCUGAGGACCAGGAACUAGAGGCCUUUAAGCUUUUAGGCUUUUAGCAGUAGUUCAGCUGAGAUCCAUUUGGGUGAGGACUUAGAAGCGUCCAGUCUGAGGAAACAGGAUCAGUUGAGAAGUUGGCAAGGUGAGGUUGGCUGUGGCUUUCCCUAUUUCUCUGAUCUUCCAGUGUUCACCCCAAUACCUGGCUCCAAGUUUUCUAUUAACAAGACCGUCUAAGGUUUGUGUUACAUAUGACAGAAUUGUUUUAGUAUAAGACUUCAAAUCAAUACUAUUUUUGUAACAUUAUAAUGAUCAUUUCUCUGGUAGUUCUAUUUUUCUGUACACCCCACAUAAAAAGUUUGUUUUGCUUUUACAGGACAUUGCUUGCAAUUUAAAAUUGUCACUUGACUCCAUUUAAAGACUAUGGAUUAAGCUUGAUUAUGCUAAAAAUAAAAGUAAUAUCUCCAACUA